GACGAACGCUGGCGGCGUGCUUAACACAUGCAAGUCGAACGGAAAGGCCCUGCUUUUGUGGGGUGCUCGAGUGGCGAACGGGUGAGUAACACGUGAGUAACCUGCCCUUGACUUUGGGAUAACUUCAGGAAACUGGGGCUAAUACCGGAUAGGAGCUCCUGCUGCAUGGUGGGGGUUGGAAAGUUUCGGCGGUUGGGGAUGGACUCGCGGCUUAUCAGCUUGUUGGUGGGGUAGUGGCUUACCAAGGCUUUGACGGGUAGCCGGCCUGAGAGGGUGACCGGCCGCAGUGGAACGGAGGCACGGGCCUGGGGCCUACGGGAGGCAGCGGGGGGGAAUCGUCCGCGACGGGCGGGAGCCUGACGGAGCGACGCCGCGUGAGUGAUGGAGGGCGUCGGAUCGUAAAACGCUGUGAUUAGGGAAGAACAAAUGUGUAAGUAACGAUGCACGUCUGGACGGUACCUAAUCAGAAAGCCACGGCUAACUACGUG
rnacentral:rRNA from 1 species